UGCAGAAGACAGCAUUGUCAGCAUAGAGAUUCAGUUAAAAAAUGGAGGUUUUGAGAAACUCUCUCUCUGCUCACUCAGGAGUGUUAUCCUGAGACAGAUCCCAAAGAUGAAAAAAAAGCAGCUCAUUCUGAGCCACAAAGACCACGUGAAAAUGAAAACGAGUUCCCUGGUGGCUCAGCUGGUUAAGAACCCAGUGUUGUCACUGCUGUGGCUCGAGUUCGAUCCCUGGCCCAGGAACUUCUGCAUGCCAUAGGUGUGGCCAAAAGGAAAAAAGAAGAAAAUAAAAACCCCCACAGGUCAGAGGUUGCCCACCACGGGGACAACCACGCGAUGGAGUUAAGAGCACAAUGAAUAGUGUCUUUUGCGUUAAUCAUGCUCCUCGCUAAAGCCCAAGGGUAACUUGCCAUUUUUGACAAAUCCGUCGUUAUGUAAUUUUCCACGGAUGGGUAACCUUGUCCAGUUGCCACUGUUUAUCAGGUUCUGAGUCCUGCAUAACACUGGGAUUCCAUGAGCAAACAUGUUUAACCGGCCCUAUUAAAGCUGUGGCCACCCAGUCUGGUCCAGCCUAAGUGUUUGGUCAACAUCCUGUGUGCAGGGAGAGCUGUCUGGCUCAGCAGGUUUUUUCAACUCUCUCCCGUCAGGGGUGACACGCAUACUGUUUCCCAGGAAGGAUGGAAGGUUCUGACGAUUGAUCUGCAAAAAGAAUGCCCCUCGCCUGCCAGGACGGGGGUUCGUAGCAGGUCCCAGCAGAGCCAAAGAAAACCAAAGUCUGUACCUGUGUAGAGGGUUUUCUAGAACCAGGACCUUGGCUGUGUUGACUAUGGAGGCAUUGCAGAGGAUGCCCAAAGAGCCCCUCCCAAGUGCACGGACCUUACAGGAGUUCCGUGAGGACCAGAUAGUCUUCUCUAGAAGGAUUUAGAAGACUGUUGAGAAAAUUGAAAAUUUAGAAGACUAUUGAGAUCAAUUUGUGGGAGUUCCCCUUGUGGCCCAGCAGGUUAAGAACCCGACUUUAUGCAUGAGGUUGCAGGUUCGAUCCCUGGCCUCACUCUGUGGGUGAAGGAUCCGGUGUUGCCGUGGGCUGUGGUGUAGGUCACAGACACAGCUCAGAUCCCCCGUGGCUGUGGCUGUGGUGUCGCCUGGCAGCUGUAGUUCCAAUUCAACCUCUAGCCUGGGAAAUCCCAAAUGCUAAAAAAAACAAAAAAAAAAAAAAAAAAGGAAGAAAGAAAACAAAGAGAAAAACUUAAAAUAGGCAGGUCGUAGGCAGGUCACUGUUGCUGAAACUCAGCCUCUAUCCACUGGUGCUGAGUAGAAGGCAGGGUUUGGGGCGAAGGAGAAAAAAAGUAGCUUUCUUGCUUUGCCAGGCCAAGGGGGUCACGGCAGCCCUAUAGACUGUGUCCCCCUUUGAGAGGGAUAAGGAGGUGAUUUUGUAGUUGGGAGUGGAAAAAUAGGGCCGCAGAUAAGGUUCAGGGUGGGUGCAAGUUUGCAUUCUUCUUCACAGCUGGUGUUUAGUGGCCCCAGGACUGGUUCUGGUGGGUCUGUCCUCUCUCGCUUUCAUUAGUUCUGCAGAAGAGCUCAAAGCCUUUGUUUUGUGUAUCCCUUGAGGGGGAACCAGGACCUGCCCCCAGGUGGCAUUGUGGUCCUCCCUGGUCUCUGCAUCCCCUCCCUUCCCUGAUCAGCACCUGUGGGCACCUGCCUUUUGGGGCUCGGGGAAGGGCCUGGAGGCUGAAGCUUAUUCCCUAAAAACAGGACACAGGCGGGAUGCAGAAAAGCUUGUGCCCAGGAGCCCACAAGGCUCUACUCAGUUUGCCUCAAAAUAUCCCAUGAGGAAAAAUGUCUCUGCAGCCUCAGAAGGGCUGCAGCCUGGGAGAUGGUCUUUAAAGCAUGAAAGAGAAAUUGCUGGCCGUCUAAAAUUCUAUGCUGAGUCGAGUCUGUUCUGCGUACCGAGGAAAUACAGACAGACUACAAAGCCAGAGUGCUUCCCUCUCACUGACACUCAUUGUUAGGACUUUGAAAGAACACGCCCAGGGAAAACAAUGCUGAAGUCUGUUGAAGGAAGGGGAUGCCGGCAGCACUGUGAGCAACGGGAUGAAAGGACCGGGGGUAAACCCAGUCCAUCCCUGACCGUGUAAAACCCGUGUGCCCCCAGCACCCCCAGUGAUAACAUUUAGACUAUCUGAGGGCGUAGAGGCCAGGUGGACCCAAAUUUAGGAAUGCUAUAACUUGCAGAAUAAAUGGGGGAUAGAGUGAAGAUAGGUCGUUUCUUUGAGAAGAUAGUAAAGAUGUUAGCUUUAUUAUUUUCUGCUGAAGUUAUUAUGUAUGUUAAUUUUUUUAUUAGAGUUGAUUUACAAUAUUGUGUCAAUUUCUGCUGUACAGCAUAGUAACCCAGUCAUACGUGGAUAUACAUGCAUUUUCUCAAACGGUCUACCAUCCUGGUCUAUCCCAAGAGACUGUGGAUAGAGUUCCCCGUGCUGGACAGCAGGACCUCAUGGCUUAUCCAUUCUCAACGUCACAGUUUGCGUCUGUAACCCCAAACUCCCCAUCCAUCCCACUCCCUCUCCCUCCCUCUUGGCGACCGCAAGCCUGUUCUCUAUGUCUGUGAGUCUGUUUCUGUUCUGUAGACAGGAUCAUUUGCAUCAUAUUUUAGAUUCCACAUAGAUGUGAUAGUGUAUGGUAUUUGUCUUUCACUGUCUGAUUAACUUCAGUGAGUAUGAUAAUCUCUAGGCCCAUUCAUGCGGCUGCAAAUGGCAUUAUUUCAUUCUUUUUUACGGCUGAGUAAUAUUCCAUUGUAGACAUAUACUACAUCUUCUUGAUCCACUCCUCUGUUGAUGGACAUUUAGGGUGUUUCCAUGUCUUGGCUGUUGGGAAUAGUUGCGCGAAUUAAAUGUAGUCCCUCAAUUAUGAAGUUGGAGACCAUGGCUUUCUCGUAAAAAAGAUGAGAGGAUUCUUUUUAAGAUUCAGAUAUCAGAGGAGAGAAAUAAUAGAAGCAAAGAAAGUAAAUGGUUCAUAAAAACACAAAAUGAGCACAAGAAAUGAAACGUAGACAUAUCAUCAACUGUAAUAAAUAUAAAUGGACUAAAAAAGCCUCUUUAUAAAUACAACUUACAGAUUGGAAAAAAAAAUCUACAUUCCUGCUCUUCGAAAGGGUCUAAAAUCAAUCAAAGAAAGGCUAAGCUAAAAAAAAAAAAAAAA
rnacentral:lncRNA from 1 species